rnacentral:rRNA from 1 species
CCUACGGGUGGCAGCAGUGAGGGAUAUUGGUCAAUGGGGGAGACCCUGAACCAGCAACGCAGCGUGAAGGAUGACUGCUUUCGGAUUGUUAACCUCUGUCCUCUAUGAAGUUAAUGGCGGUAGCAGUGGAGUUAUCUACGGCUAACUACGUGCCGGCUGCCGCGGUAAUACGGAGGGAGCGAGCGUUGUCCGGAUUUACUGGGUGUAAUGGGUGCGUAGGUGGGUAAGUAAGUCAGAAGUGAAAUCCAUGGGCUUAACCCAUGAACUGCUUUUGAAACUGUUUACCUUGAGUGAAGUAGAGGUAGGCGGAAUUCGUGGUGUAGCGGUGAAAUGCGUAGAGAUCAGGAGGAACACCAGUUGCGAAGGCAGCCUACUAGGCUUUAACUGACGUUGAAGCACGAAAGUGUGGGUAUCAAACAGGAUUAGAUACCCUAGUAGUC